UACGUAGGGUGCAGGCGUUAAUCGGAAUUACUAGGCGUAAAGCGUGCGCAGGCGGUUAUGCAAGACAGAGGUGAAAUCCCCGGGCUCAACCUGGGAACUGCCUUUGUGACUGCAUAGCUAGAGUACGGUAGAGGGGGAUGGAAUUCCGCGUGUAGCAGUGAAAUGCGUAGAUAUGCGGAGGAACACCGAUGGCGAAGGCAAUCCCCUGGACCUGUACUGACGCUCAUGCACGAAAGCGUGGGGAGCAAACAGG
rnacentral:rRNA from 1 species